CCUGGCGGCAGUAGCGCGGUGGUCCCACCUGACCCCAUGCCGAACUCAGAAGUGAAACGCCGUAGCGCCGAUGGUAGUGUGGG
rnacentral:rRNA from 2 species